GUGGAAGGCAGAGAGCGCUGGAGCUGGACAGGGAGAUGAGAAGGCAGUCUGAGAGGUGAGAGCAGCCUCCGGGAAGACCUGUUUCCUGGAAGCCAAGCCAGGAGGCAGCUCAAGGAGGAAAGUGAAAUGUUGCAGAAAUCAGGGUUAAAGAGAUCACUAGCUUUUAGAAGGAGGUGGAUAUUUUGACUUGGGAAAAGAAUUUCAGUGAGAUGGUAGUAGUAGGCAUCAGACAGUUAGGGGCAAAACACAUGUUGGAAGACAGGAAGAAGUCCUGGAGAUUUAUCCUGGAAAUCUUUGUCAGAGAAGAGACUGGGGUAUUAAACUGAUGGAUGAGGCCAGGCACGGUGGCUCAUGCCUGUAAUCCCAGCACUUUGAGAGGCUGAGGUGGGUGGAUCACUUGAGGUCAGGAGUUCAAGACCAGCCUGGCCAACAUGGCAAAACCCUGUCUCUACUAAAAAUACAAAAAUUAGCCAGGUAUGGUGGCCCAUGCCUGUAGUCCCAGCUACUCGGGAGUCUGAGGCAUGAGAAUUGCUUGAACCUGGGAGAGGGAGGUUGCAGCGAGUUGCGAUUAUACCACUGCACUCCAGCCUGGGUGACAGAGCGAGACUCUGUCUACAUAAAGUAAUAAACUAAUAAAUUGAGUGGGUGAAAGUGUUGCUCUCAAGUUUUUUAGAUUAGAAGUGAUGCAAUCAAGUUAUCAAGCAGAAGAGAAGGAGUGACUGGAGUGAAGACAAGGAUAAAAGGUGCCAAACAGGACCAGGCAUGGUGGCUUACGCCUGUAAUCCCAACACUUGCGGAGGCCAAGGUGGGAGGAUCGCUUGAGGCCAGGAGUUUGAGAACAGACUGGGCAGCAGAGUGAGGCCCUUGUCUCUAUUAAAAAAAAAUAAAUAAAUAAAAGUGCAAGACUGGUGGAGCCGAAUGGCGAAAAAUCCUCCAGGAGAUGGGAGAGAAAAGGAUCAGGAACAAAGGCCCUCUCCCAAGAGAGAGAAAAAGAGAAGGAAAAAAAUUCAGAAGUUGGGGCGGUGAGGAGCAGCCGUCGGUGGCCUGGUGGCAGUUUAUAGGCCCAGGGCCAUAUGUCCCAGAGUGACAUGCAGGGUUGCAAUUCUGCAAUGACAAAGAACAGCUGCGGUGACCACAGCGUGAACCACGACUGAUGACAAUCUGCAGGGAUUUUUGCAUCAAACCGGCAGUGUGGCUCGCAUAAUGGAUGAUGUCAUCCUUGAAGGCAGAAACCAUGUGUCCCCAGAAGUAUGUUGGCUCUCAAUAAGUAGCUGUUGAAUAAAUGAGUUGCUGGAUAUUCACAACUCACAUUUGCUAAGCGUG
rnacentral:lncRNA from 1 species